rnacentral:rRNA from 1 species
UACGAAGGGGGCUAGCGUUGUUCGGAUUUACUGGGCGUAAAGGGCGCGUAGGCGGCCUCUGCAAGUCGACUGUGAAAUCUCCGGGCUUAACCCGGAAAGGUCAGCCGAUACUGCAGGGCUAGAGUGCAGAAGGGGCAACUGGAAUUCUCGGUGUAGCGGUGAAAUGCGUAGAUAUCGAGAGGAACACCUGCGGCGAAGGCGGGUUGCUGGGCUGACACUGACGCUGAAGUGCGAAAGCUAGGGGAGCGAACGGG